GAUAAAGGAGAGGUAUAGUAGAUACCUCCACAACAAAUACACCUCACACCGAUGAAUCCAAAAAGCUAGAACAAGGCAAAAACGAAUUGACCAUGACUGCAGAAAAACCACAACUCAUAUCUAAGGCAACCCUCGACUUAACAACAACUUAUGAACCACACCUUCCACUUUCGAAACAGGAACGAAGAAACACAAAUCUGAGGCCGAAGAUAUCCCCCUCACCC
rnacentral:lncRNA from 1 species